rnacentral:tRNA from 1 species
GGGGCUGUAGCUCAGUUGGGAGAGCACCUGCUUUGCAAGCAGGGGGUCGGCGGUUCGAUCCCGCUCAGCUCCA